rnacentral:rRNA from 1 species
CCUACGGGAGGCAGCAGUGGGGAAUAUUGCACAAUGGUGUAAACCCUGAUGCAGCGACGCCGCGUGAGUGAAGAAGUAUUUCGGUAUGUAAAGCUCUAUCCGCAGGGAAGAAAAUGACGGUACCUGACUAAUAAGCCUCGGAUAACGACGUGCCAACAGCCGCGGGAAUACGUAGGGGGCAAGCGUUAUCCGGCUUUACUGGGUGUAAAGGGAGCGUAGGCGGCAAGGUAAGCCAGAAUUGAAAGGCCGCGGCGAAACUGCGGGACUGCUUUUGAAACUAUCUAGCUAGAUUGCAGGAGAGGUAAGUGGAAUUCCUAGUGGAGCGGUGAAAUGCGUAGAUAUUAGGAGGAACACCAGUGGCGAAGGCGGCUUACUGGACUGUAAAUGACGCUGAGGCUCGAAAGCGUGGGGAUCAAACAGGAUUAGAUACCCUUGUAGUC